rnacentral:rRNA from 1 species
UGCCUGUACCAUAACCGACACAGGUGGGUAAGUAGAGUAUACUAAGGGGCGCGAGAUAACUCUCUCUAAGGAACUCGGCAAAAUAACUCCGUAACUUCGGGAGAAGGAGUGCCUUAUUCUUAAGGUUGCAAUAACAAGAUCCAAGCAACUGUUUAUCAAAAACACAGGUCUCCGCUAAGUCGUAAGACGAUGUAUGGGGGCUGACGCCUGCCCAGUGCCAGAAGGUUAAAGAAGUCGGUUAGCAAUAGCAAAGCUGGUAACUGAAGCCCUGGUGAACGGCGGCCGUAACUAUAACGGUCCUAAGGUAGCGAAAUUCCUUGUCGGGUAAGUUCCGACCCGCACGAAAGGCGUAAUGAUUUGGAUGCUGUCUCGGAGAGGGGCUCGGUGAAAUAGACUUGUCUGUGGAGAUGCGGACUACCUGCACCAGGACAGAAAGACCCUAUGAAGCUUUACUGUAACUUGAAAUUGAAAUUGGACUUUAUUCGCGCAGUAUAGGUGGGAGGCGCUGAUUAUAAUCUUGUGGGAUUAUUGGAGCCAUCAGUGAGAUACCACUCUUGUAAUGUUAGAUUUCUAACUUUGAAUCAUUAUCUGGUCAAAGGACAGUUUCAGGCGGGCAGUUUGACUGGGGCGGUCGCCUCCUAAACGGUAACGGAGGCGUACAAAGGUUUCCUCUGAACGGUUAGAAAUCGUAUCUAGAGUGUAAAGGCAUAAGGAAGCUUGACUGUGAGACCUACAAGUCGAGCAGGGACGAAAGUCGGUCUUAGUGAUCUGACGGUACUGAGUGGAAAGGCCGUCACUCAACGGAUAAAAGUUACUCUAAGGAUAACAGGCUGAUCUCCCCCAAGAGUUCACAUCGACGGGGAGGUUUGGCACCUCGAUGUCGGCUCAUCGCAUCCUGGGGCGGUAGUACGUCCCAAGGGUUGGGCUGUUCGCCCAUGAAAGCGGUACGCGAGCUGGGUCCAGAACGUCGUGAGACAGUUCGGUCCAUAUCCGGUGUAGGCGCUAGAAUAUUGAGAGGAGCCUUCUUUAGUACGAGAGGACCGAGAAGGACAUACCUCUGGUGUACCAGUUAUCGUGCCAACGGUAAACGCUGGGUAGCUAUGUAUGGAGUGGAUAACCGCUGAAAGCAUCUAAGUGGGAAGCCCACCUCAAGAUAAGUAUUCUCAUCACGUAAGUGAGUAAGGUCACGGUAAGACUAACCGUUUGAUAGGCAUUAAGUGUAAGUACAGUAAUGUAUGUGCUGAGAUGUCCUAAUAGACC